AGCCGCUGGCUCGCGAAUGUUUGCUCGUCGACUUGGAAGAGUAAUGGAAGAACAAUGAUCUAGCGUCUUCUCCCAUCCAGUUCCCGCACGAACUAAGUUUUCCUCGAUAUUCUGCUGGCUAGACCAGGUGGAAUUCCAUAAUCGUACUACUUUUUUUUUUUUUUAAAACUUUGAGACAUCUGCAGGCGAUGUCAAAAGGGUAAACGGGUAGAUCAGCGUCUUAUGUUGAACACUAAGAGAUAUUAAAUGUCGAAGUUCCUGUUCGUUAACAAUACAACACCCAGUCGUCGUCGUCGUCCUUGUAUGGUCCUGUUUUUGUUAAGUAGAGAUAGGUACGUAUCCCUGCCACGCUCAGAUCACAACCUCAAGAAUUUUGUUUCCAGUGAUCCUUCCCAUGUGUAUCGAAUAUUCUGUAUAUCGUUAGCUUAUACAUUUCCUAUUCUAUCCCUUAACCUCUUCAGGGACGAUUUCUUUUUUGUUAUUAUCAAAUUUUUAUUCUAUUUAUUAUUAACAGUAAUUAUAAUGAUAAAAAACUAAACGUCCACAUACGUGGUCAAGAGCGUGAAGAUGUUAAAAUCGAGCAAUAUCUUCCAAAAACAUCCCGUAUACAUACUUAUUAUGUAUAUUGCAUGAAACGUAUAUAACGAUACAUGUUGGUUUCAAAUGUUGUUCACGCAUUACAUAACGUAACGAUUCGCGUAGCUCAACCUGUAGCGAUUCCGGUUAGGGUUGAAUAGAAUCGAUCGUUUAUUUCUCCAGUUGUCAUUGCGAAAUCUACGACUAAAUAGUCGAGAGCUGUAGCGAUGCGUCGCUAGUUAAUUCAGCUGUCUUGUCCGUCGUAGUGAAACGUUUCGUAGACGAUACCACUCCCAAAUGUGCGUCCAAAGAUAGUGUAAUCGUAUGGCUGAAAUAAAUUUACGUACUUCCCAAAAACGAAUACGCAUUGACUACGAUAAACGGUGCGAUUGCGCUCAAGCAACGCAGACGACUUUUUUUCCGCAGGGGAAUUGACGGAUCCACCGAAAGCGUGAAACUUACUCGAGAGCGAAAUAUAAUCGUUUUAUCUGUCCAGCGUGCGUCCCGUGCAUUUCUCUAACACGUUAUCCUGUUUAUUUCUAGGAUUCAGGAGGAGCCACGUGCUCAGGAGUAACGUGACGCGGAUACAUUCCUUUAGCGAGACGGAGUCGCCCAUCAAGUGUCCCCAGUGCGGCAGAACGUACAAGAUGAAGCGAAAUUUGACGACUCACAUGAAAUUUGAGUGCGGCGGACAAAGAAACUUUACGUGUCACGUGUGCCCGGCGAAAUACACGCAGAAUAUCGGACUGCGUCGACAUCUCUUGCAAAGACACAACAUUUACCUACCGCCAAAGUUCUCCAUGCCUAAGCGCAUUUUCGAUCAGGGAUCGACGAACUCUUAGACCUUCUUUGCAGGAAUUCUCCAACGAAUCGUCAAUUUUUCGACGAGGAUGACUUAUCGUGACGCUUCGCGGCUCGGCACGCCUCGUAUAGAACGCAUACUUUCUUGUCUAUCCUUAUCGAAUUCUUCCACGGUUACUUUACAGAACGUGCCUCGAUGGAAACGAUCCCCCCCCCGACUCGAGCAUUUUUCUAUUUCGGACGAAUUUGGAAGACUUCGAACCGACAGGGUAGACCGAAUCGAACGAGACUAAAGGUAACUUACGGACGAAACCUUAGGCACAUUUUGUACAGGAUGUAAGAUUGUUAUUAUGCGAGGAACGCGGAAUAAAAGGUGCACACGAUUCCCCGACCACUCUUUUCAUUAUCCAAAAUCGCUCUGUUUUCCCGACGGCGACUAGUAUAACCGCUAGAGUACCUUGCGAUGGUUGUUUUCUCUCACAGGACUUUAGACACCUGACGUCUCGUUUUCAUUGUUUUGCAGAGCCGAUAAUCGCCGCGGGGGGAUCCAGAAACGGAUGCUUCAGGAAUAUGGAAGCGUUCACCUGUCACCAGUGCGGCAGAUCGUACCAAAUGAGGCACAAUCUGGUGAAACAUUUGAGAUUCGAGUGCGGCGGGCGCAAGCAUUUUGGCUGUAGUUUGUGCCCGGCGAGGUACACGCAGAACGGGAAGCUAAGGCAGCACAUGCUGAACGCGCACAAUAUCUUCAUCCCGCCGCGAAAAACUUGGAUAAGGCCCACUUAUAGCACUUGAAUAGACCCCACCUAAAACCCUUCCCGUGCGAAGUCUUCGUAGAUGGAACAUUUCUGUGCAACAUUUUUGUGAACAAUAAGUUAGGUGUCGACGCUAGUUUAUCUUUUCUUACAGUAGAUAGAACCGGGCGUGGAUAUUUGUUUAUGUAACGUUUCCGACAAUGGAUGAGAGAGUAACAAUAAAUAGUUUUGGGAAAAUGAACGCUUGCGAGAAGCCACUAGUUUUAUCCAACGCGUUUCAUGCUUGUUCGUCGCGUGGUCGGGCCGAUUCGUUUGCGAUUUCUACGAGGAUCUCCUUACCAUUGAACUCUACCACGAAGAGGCGACAGCUUCCCAAGACUCAUCAUCAUCGAAGAGCCUGUAUACGAGCGUUGGAGCUUCAGACCGACUACUCGUUGGACAACCUGAAGUCAACGACGAAUGCGACAACCGAUGAAGAUUUUCUUCCACUUUACCUCUCGAGGAAUGAAGAUACUCUAAAAAUCAUCUGACUGUCACUUAUUCAUUUUUGCUGCUCCUUUUGUCCCUCUCCUCUUCGCAUAAUAAAUUAUUAUUUACAGCCCG